rnacentral:rRNA from 1 species
GAUGAACGCUAGCUACAGGCUUAACACAUGCAAGUCGAGGGACCGGCGCACGGGUGAGUAACACGUAUCCAACCUGCCCUUUACUCGGGGAUAGCCUUUCGAAAGAAAGAUUAAUACCCGAUAUAAAGGAUGGGGAUGCGUUCCAUUAGGUUGUUGGUGAGGUAACGGCCCACCAAGCCUUCGAUGGAUAUGGGUUCUGAGAGGAAGGUCCCCUACAUUGGAACUGAGACACAGUCCAAACACCUACCGAAGGCAGCAGUGAGGAAUAUUGGUCAAAAGGCGCAAGCCUGAACCAGCCAAGUAGCGUGAAGAGUGAAGGCAUAGGGGUCGUGAACUUCUUUUAUAUAAGGAUAUGUAAUAUAUGAAUAAGGAUCGGCUAACUCCGUGCCAGCAGCCGCGGUAAUAC